CCUACGGGUGGCAGCAGUGGGGAAUAUUGGACAAUGGGGGGAACCCUGAUCCAGCCAUGCCGCGUGUGUGAAGAAGGCCCUCGGGUUGUAAAGCACUUUCAGUGAGGAAGAACGCCUGGUGGUUAAUACCCAUCAGGAAAGACAUCACUCACAGAAGAAGCACCGGCUAACUCCGUGCCAGCAGCCGCGGUAAUACGGAGGGUGCGAGCGUUAAUCGGAAUUACUGGGCGUAAAGCGCGCGUAGGUGGCUUGAUAAGCCGGUUGUGAAAGCCCCGGGCUCAACCUGGGAACGGCAUCCGGAACUGUCAAGCUAGAGUGCAGGAGAGGAAGGUAGAAUUCCCGGUGUAGCGGUGAAAUGAGUAGAGAUCGGGAGGAAUACCAGUGGCGAAGGCGGCCUUCUGGACUGACACUGACACUGAGGUGCGAAAGCGUGGGUAGCAAACAGGAUUAGAUACCCUAGUAGUC
rnacentral:rRNA from 1 species